rnacentral:rRNA from 1 species
UACGUAGGUGGCAAGCGUUGUCCGGAUUUACUGGGUGUAAAGGGCGUGCAGCCGGGAAGACAAGUCAGAUGUGAAAUCCCGCGGCUCAACCGCGGAACUGCAUUUGAAACUGUUUUUCUUGAGUACCGGAGAGGUCAUCGGAAUUCCUUGUGUAGCGGUGAAAUGCGUAGAUAUAAGGAAGAACACCAGUGGCGAAGGCGGCUUACUGGACCGUAACUGACGUUGAGGCUCGAAAGCGUGGGAAGCAAACAGG